rnacentral:rRNA from 1 species
AGAGUUUGAUCCUGGCUCAGAUUGAACGCUGGCGGCAUGCCUUACACAUGCAAGUCGAACGGUAACGGGCCUUCGGGUGCCGACGAGUGGCGAACGGGUGAGUAAUGUAUCGGAACGUACCUUUCAGUGGGGGAUAACGUAGCGAAAGUUACGCUAAUACCGCAUAUUCUGUGAGCAGGAAAGCAGGGGAUCGCAAGACCUUGCGCUGAUUGAGCAGCCGAUAUCAGAUUAGCUAGUUGGUGAGGUAAAGGCUCACCAAGGCGACGAUCUGUAGCGGGUCUGAGAGGAUGAUCCGCCACACUGGAACUGAGACACGGUCCAGACUCCUACGGGAGGCAGCAGUGGGGAAUUUUGGACAAUGGGCGCAAGCCUGAUCCAGCCAUGCCGCGUGAGUGAAGAAGGCCUUCGGGUUGUAAAGCUCUUUCGGCCGGGAAGAAAUCGCAUGGGUUAAUACCCUGUGCGGAUGACGGUACCGGCAUAAGAAGCACCGGCUAACUACGUGCCAGCAGCCGCGGUAAUACGUAGGGUGCGAGCGUUAAUCGGAAUUACUGGGCGUAAAGCGUGCGCAGGCGGUUUUUUAAGACAGGCGUGAAAUCCCCGGGCUCAACCUGGGAACUGCGCUUGUGACUGGAAGGCUAGAGUACGGCAGAGGGGGGUGGAAUUCCACGUGUAGCAGUGAAAUGCGUAGAGAUGUGGAGGAACACCAAUGGCGAAGGCAGCCCCCUGGGUCGAUACUGACGCUCAUGCACGAAAGCGUGGGUAGCAAACAGGAUUAGAUACCCUGGUAGUCCACGCCCUAAACGAUGUCAACUAGGUGUUGGAUGGGUAAAACCAUUUAGUACCGGAGCUAACGCGUGAAGUUGACCGCCUGGGGAGUACGGCCGCAAGGUUAAAACUUAAAGGAAUUGACGG